rnacentral:rRNA from 1 species
GAUGAACGCUGGCGGCGUGCCUAAUACAUGCAAGUCGAGCGAACAGACGAGGAUCUUGCUCCUCUGACGUUAGCGGCGGACGGGUGAGUAACACGUGGAUAACCUACCUAUAAGACUGGGAUAACUUCGGGAAACCGGAGCUAAUACCGGAUAAUAUAUUGAACCGCAUGGUUCAAUAGUGAAAGACGGUUUUGCUGUCACGUAUAGAUGGAUCCGCGCCGCAUUAGCUAGUUGGUAAGGUAACGGCUUACCAAGGCAACGAUGCGUAGCCGAGCUGAGAGGGGGGUCGCCCGCACGAGAACGGAGACAGCGUCAAGAGGCCUGCGGGAGGCCGCAGUAGGGAAUGUUACGCAAUGGGCGAAAGCAUGGCGGAGCAGCCCCGAGUGAGUGGUGGCAGUCUUGGGUGCGUAAAACUCUGUUACUAGGGAAGAACAAAUGUGUACUUAGCUAUGCACGUCUUGACGGUACCUAAUCAGAAAGCCACGGCUAACUACGUG